rnacentral:tmRNA from 1 species
CCAGGUUUCGACGGGGAUCGGAAGCGCAGGUUGCAUGCCGGAGUGGGCUGGCUCCGUAAAAAAGCCCAACUCAACAAACGCCGACAACGACGUUCGUUACGCACUGGCCGCCUAAUUAGGCGACCGCAUCCUUGAACUCCUCGCCCACGGGGGAUCUCGGAUGUCAUUUAGUGGGCUAGUCGUGGCGAGUGCCUGUGGCGCCGCGGCGAAACUUAGCAGGCUCGCCCGAAAGGGAUCCCGUCCGUGGGAGACUCUAGGGUUAACUGAAAACGCGGACUAAGCAUGUAGACGCCUGACGUGGAUGGUUUUCGGACGCGGGUUCGAUUCCCGCC